UACGUAGGGGGCAAGCGUUGUCCGGAUUUAUUGGGCGUAAAGAGCGUGUAGGCGGCCAUUUAGGUCAGCUGUGAAAACUCGAGGCUCAACCUCGAGACGUCGGUUGAAACCGCAUGGCUAGAGUCCGGAAGAGGAGAGUGGAAUUCCCGGUGUAGCGGUGAAAUGCGCAGAUAUCGGGAAGAACACCCGUGGCGAAGGCGGCUCUCUGGGACGGUACUGACGCUGAGACGCGAAAGCGUGGGGAGCGAACAGG
rnacentral:rRNA from 1 species